rnacentral:rRNA from 1 species
GUCUAUGGCCAUACUGCCCUGAAUGUGCCCAAUCUUGUCUGAUCUCAGAAGCUAAGCAGGGUUGGGCCCCGUUAGUAGUUGGACAAGAGAUGAAUUACUUAUGGACA